GCCCACGGCCAUAGGACCCUGCGAACGCCCGAUCUCAUCUGAUCUCGGAAGGGAGGCAGGUCGGGCCCAGUGAGUACUUGGAUGGGAGACCGCCUGGGAAUACCGGGUGCUGUAGGCU
rnacentral:rRNA from 1 species